rnacentral:ncRNA from 1 species
ACAAAGGCGUUGACAGGAACAAAAGCAAAGUUCUGACAUUACAGAGAGCCGUCGGUGGGUGCAAGACGGUAUGCGGAAUUUGUGAUAACUCGUCCCCGAGCCUGAACGGUGAAAUCUUAUUAGCCGCUCACGGGUUCUCCCGUUAUAGAGAUACGCAUUGAUAGAUGCGGCUGAGAUAUGCGGUGUGAGCCGUAUAUGAAUGAGAGUGGUAACACGGCAAAGCUCGUCUCUCCU